GAUGAACGCUAGCUACAGGCUUAACACAUGCAAGUCGAGGGGAAACGGCAUUAAGUGCUUGCACUUUUUGGACGUCGACCGGCGCACGGGUGAGUAACGCGUAUCCAACCUUCCCAUGACUAAGGGAUAACCUGCCGAAAGGCAGACUAAUACCUUAUGGUCUUCACUGACGGCAUCAGAUGUGAAGUAAAGAUUUAUCGGUUAUGGAUGGGGAUGCGUCUGAUUAGCUUGUUGGCGGGGUAACGGCCCACCAAGGCAACGAUCAGUAGGGGUUCUGAGGGGAAGGUCCCCCACAUUGGAACUGAGACACGGUCCAAACUCCUACGGGAGGCAGCAGUGAGGAAUAUUGGUCAAUGGGCGAGAGCCUGAACCAGCCAAGUAGCGUGCAGGAUGACGGCCCUAUGGGUUGUAAACUGCUUUUGUAUGGGGAUAAAGUCAAUCACGUGUGAUUGUUUGCAGGUACCAUACGAAUAAGGACCGGCUAAUUCCGUG
rnacentral:rRNA from 1 species